rnacentral:rRNA from 1 species
GACGAACGCUGGCGGCGUGCUUAACACAUGCAAGUCGAACGGAAAGGCCUCUUUCGGGGGGUACUCGAGUGGCGAACGGGUGAGUAACACGUGAGUAACCUGCCCUUGACUUUGGGAUAACUUCAGGAAACUGGGGCUAAUACCGGAUAGGAGCUCCUGCUGCAUGGUGGGGGUUGGAAAGUUUCGGCGGUUGGGGAUGGACUCGCGGCUUAUCAGCUUGUUGGUGGGGUAGUGGCUUACCAAGGCUUUGACGGGUAGCCGGCCCGAGAGGGUGACCGGCCACAUUGGGACUGAGAUACGGCCCAGACUCCUACGGGAGGCAGCAGUGGGGAAUAUUGCACAAGGGGUGGAAGCCUGAUGCAGCGACGCCGUGGGCGGGAUGACGGCCUUCGGGUUGUAAACCGCUUUCGCUCAUGACGAAGCUUUGUGUGACGGUAGUGGGUAAAGAAGCACCGGCUAACUACGUG